rnacentral:rRNA from 1 species
AUUGAACGCUGGCGGCAGGCCUAACACAUGCAAGUCGAACGAGUGGCGGACGGGUGAGUAAUGUCUGGGAAACUGCCUGAUGGAGGGGGAUAACUACUGGAAACGGUAGCUAAUACCGCAUACCUACGGAUGUACCCAGAUGGGAUUAGCUAGUAGGUGGGGUAAAGGCUCACCUAGGCGACGAUCCCUACCUGGUCUGAGAGGAUGACCAGGCACACUGGGACUGAGACACGGUCCAGACUCCUGAGGGAGGCAGAAGUGGGGAAUAGUGCACAAUGGGCGCAAGCCUGAUGAAGCCAUGCCGCGUGUAUGAAGAAUGCCUUCGGGUUGUAAAGUACUUUCAGCGGGGAGGCGUUACCCGCAGAAGAAGCACCGGCUAACUCCGUGCCAGCAGCCGCGGUAAUAC